GGGUCGAUGCCCGAGAGGUUAAUGGGGACGGACUGUAAAUUCGUUGGCGAUAUGUCUACGCCGGUUCAAAUCCGGCUCGACCCA
rnacentral:tRNA from 1 species